rnacentral:rRNA from 1 species
UACAGAGGGGGCAAGCGUUGUUCGGAAUUACUGGGCGUAAAGGGCGCGUAGGCGGCCUUCUAAGUCGAACGUGAAAUCCCCGGGCUCAACCCGGGAACUGCGUCCGAGACUGGCAUGCUUGAAUCCGGGAGAGGGAUGUGGAAUUCCAGGUGUAGCGGUGAAAUGCGUAGAUAUCUGGAGGAACAUCGGUGGCGAAGGCGGCAUCCUGGACCGGUAUUGACGCUGAGGCGCGAAAGCCAGGGGAGCAAACGGG